UUCACUUUCCUGGCUCUCGGUUCUGCCCCCGGCUUCCAGGGCACGGUUCCAGGUUAAGUCCCAGGAGACCCAAACCUUGCCCACAAGUCACUAGUCACUCCCAGCAGUCAAAGGAGCUGAGGACAGCAGAGCAGCCCGGCCACCAGAAGAGCUGUCUUCACGCAGCGACGGCGGGACAGCACUGAACUUGGUGCAGGAGCAGCCGCUGAUGGAAACUGCCCCCCAGGACAGCACCACUAGGAUUUAUAGGGACACAGGUGACAAGAACUACGAGUUCCCAGAACCGGGGAAGAGGGAAGGAGAGAGAGCAAAAAGACGAGGAGAGGAAAAGAAAGAAGACCAGCAGAGAGCUCUCCAAAGAUGGGACUGUGCCUGUGGGCAGAAGAGCAUCUCUGGACACAGCUGAGAAAAC